rnacentral:rRNA from 1 species
AUUGAACGCUGGCGGAAUGCUUUACACAUGCAAGUCGAACGGUAGAGGGGGCAACCCCUUGAGAGUGGCGAACGGGUGAGUAAUAUAUCGGAACGUGCCCAGUCGUGGGGAUAACGUAGCGAAAGUUACGCUAAUACCGCAUACGAUCUAAGGAUGAAAGCGGGGGAUCGCAAGACCUCGCGCGAUUGGAGCGGCCGAUAUCAGAUUAGGUAGUUGGUGAGGUAAAGGCUCACCAAGCCAACGAUCUGUAGCUGGUCUGAGAGGACGACCAGCCACACUGGAACUGAGACACGGUCCAGACUCCUACGGGAGGCAGCAGUGGGGAAUUUUGGACAAUGGGCGCAAGCCUGAUCCAGCAAUGCCGCGUGCAGGAUGAAGGCCUU